AAUACGUUGCGGGGGGACUCAAACGGAUGCUGUCCGCACGAGUUGAGAAGGUAAAAUCUGACCCUUUGAACCUGUUAGUCAAUACUGACGUAGGGAAGCAAAUCGACGUGAUAU
rnacentral:ncRNA from 1 species